UCUGAUACAGCGGCAGAGGGAUCAGUGACAUCAGUGUCUGCUCCAGUGCCAGGCUUCAGGGUUGUUCUCCAGCAACCAGCCGCUCUGUGGGAUCAUCAUGGGAAGCUGCACUUCAGGGCUAAAGAAGAAAAGUAAAGAGGAUUUGCCACCAGGUAAUGGAAGCAGAGAUAAUAAGCCUAACGAGGAUGUAACAUACGCCUCCAUUAACCACAACACCUCCAAAGGAUCGAGAAGAGCCAGAAUUAACACUGCCGAUGAUUGUGACUAUGCCAUAGUUAACGUCCCAGCAGCGCCUCAACCCGACCCUGACUCCGAGUGCUCAUCCAAAGAGGAAUGUGCAGAUGAUUACGUUCUGAUGGGGUGAAAAGAAACAAGAGGAAAAGUUUAUUUGGACUAUUGCAAGAUGCAGGACUAGUAAAUCAUAUCGCAAGCAGAAAAAGAUGCCUAAUAGUCUCAUGGAAGAACUUGUUUGCAGUUGAACUGUCAAAUUAACAGCUGAAUCGAGAUCUAAUCUUGGCCAUCACAGCUGAAAGAACAUUCACAACCGACUGCAGCUGGUUGCGGAAGUGUCUAGAGAUGUUUCUUUCCACUUUUGAGGUAACUUAAUCCAGAACACAACUGUGGUGUUCCUACUUCAAGAAACGAACUUGCAUUUGAUGUCUUCGCAUAAGGAGAAGAUGAACCUUUUUAUUCAAAUGUGCCAUUAUUCCUGAGACAUCAUAAAAUUAGCAAAAUAUCUGGAAGAAGGCAGUCUAAGGAAGCUGAGCCUGGUGUUCGGACUGGAAUAAAAAGGUUUAAUCAGUUCUGAACCUCUCCAAGAGCAGCAACAUCUUCAAAACCGCAUAUUCAUCGGCUUCUGAGACGCUACAGCUACUAUCAACUGAAAGAAUGAAAACUCAGUGUGACUUUAAAUUCAACAUUUUUUGGACUGGUAAUUACCCCAUAUCACCAAAAUAUGGAGCACAAAGUUUAAGAAUUUAUACAGUUUGUGCUUUUUUCAUCCCUGGAUUCAUGAAAAAAAUGUGACAUUUGCACAAAAGUAACAUUGAAAAUAGUACUUUCAAUGCAGCUGAUGUUUACACAAUGCAGCGUCCCCAAAAAUGCAAAAACAGUAGCUUCUGACAAAGUGCUGUUAGUUGCACAUUGACCUGAAUGUCUGAGAGCCUUAAAGCCACUAAGUGUAGAACUUUUAAAUUAUUUGAAGGUAUCUGCUUUUUCUUCUGAAAAAAAAAAUCACCAACAUUGAUUAUUAAGCUCAUUUCUUUUUGCUUUCAAAAGGUGUAUGUGCUACAAAAGUGGUAAAACGACGAGAAGAAACCCAUAAACAGACAGUAUGAUAAAAAGGAAGCACAGCGACUAUAUAACUGUUGGCUAAUGUCAGUACGUUUCUAUGCUUUCCUAUUGCAGAUGAAGGUUUUGAUCUUUAUCUAACAGCUUGUUGUCGUUGUUGAAAGAGAGCCAAAGCUUUAAGUUUCACAACCGACCCUCAUGCUUGAACUACCAACCUUUUAUUACCAAUGCCAGUAAACCCAAACCUGAAAGACUGCACAGCUACUUUCACAAUAAAUGUCAAAAUGUCAAUAGAAUUUCUGCCACUGUUAAAUUUAUGAUAUGAAUUUACACAACAUGUACCUUAAAUUGGAUUUCAGAGUUCAUUUAGCAGCACAGAAUUCCUAAGAACUACUGGGCACUUCCUGACUAUGCUAGAAACAUAUGUUCAAGGAUAAGGGAUUUAUGUUUUGUUGGUUUUUGUGUGUAUACAUUGAUGUAUCUGACAGAAUUAUUUAUAGGUUUGACUGGAUGUAUAAGAAAGGGUAGAAUAGUGUCAUUUACUGUAAGUUGACUUUGUUUCAUUGCAGUUUAACUGAUGUUUUUUAAUUCAUUAAAAGUUUACAGCACAUUG